CUUUGUUAAAAAAGCUGCAGCCCAAUUUGGAUUCAGCUCUUUGCUGCCCUUUUUCUUUUCCAGUUACUUAAUAUAGAGCUGUUCUGUUCUAACUCAGUAUCUGAACAGUCGUAAGGAUUAUCAGUUAUUAACUGAACAUUUCCGCAUGGCUGUCUUUGUGUAGGCAGUCUGACCACAAAACAAAGAUUUAAAAGUGUGAAGUCAGAAAUUGUGCAUUGUUAGAAAAAAAAGGAACAAAAUCUUGCAGAAAAAUG